UUAGAACUAUAUAGUAUCUCGGAAAGAAUCCAAUAACGUAAAAACGUAAAAACUAUUAACUUUAGAGGAAAAAGUUGUAAUCUCUAAUAGUUAUUAAGUUUAUAUUAUAAUCUAUACUUUUCAUUUUAGAUUCAGGUUAUAUUAAUCUUUUGGCAGGAAAGAGAACAAAAAUGUACUUCUUACAGCACUUUAACCGAAUGCAUUGAAAGUAUAUGUAACAAUUUUGAUAUAUAUUUAGUUGAGAAUAAUUCAAUGUGCCACUCUAUUGCAUAUAGUUUACAGGAUUUAAUAGAUUUUAUUCAAAUUAAAUUAUCUGCUAUGUAUUGUUUGAUAUAUGAGGCAGAAUUUGGAGGAUUUCAUUGUUAUGACAAAUUAUGGAUCAUCAACAAAA
rnacentral:lncRNA from 13 species